rnacentral:rRNA from 1 species
CACGUAGGGUGCGAGCGUUGUCCGGAAUUAUUGGGCGUAAAGAGCUCGUAGGCGGUGUGUCGCGUCGGCCGUGAAAACCUGCAGCUUAACUGUGGGCUUGCGGUCGAUACGGGCAUCACUGGAGUUCGGCAGGGGAGACUGGAAUUCCUGGUGUAGCGGUGAAAUGCGCAGAUAUCAGGAGGAACACCGGUGGCGAAGGCGGGUCUCUGGGCCGAUACUGACGCUAAGGAGCGAAAGCGUGGGGAGCGAACAGG